rnacentral:misc_RNA from 1 species
UCGGCGCCUUUCGAGGCGCCGUUUUUUUUUUUU